GGAGGGUGCAAGCGUUAUUCGGAAUCACGUGGGACGUAAAGAGCGCGUAGGCGGGUUCUAAAGUCAGAUGUGAAAGCCCGGGGGGCUCAACCUCGGAAGUGCAUUUGAAACUUAGGGACUUGAGUAUGGGAGAGGGAAGUGGAAUUCCUGGUGUAGCGGUGAAAUGCGUAGAUAUCAGGAGGAACACCGGUGGCGAAGGCGACUUCCUGGACCAAUACUGACGCUGAGGCGCGAAGGCGUGGGGAGCAAACAGGAUUAGAUACCCUGGUAGUCCACGCAGUAAACGUUGAACACUAGGUGUAGCGGGUAUUGACCCCUGCUGUGCCGCAGCUAACGCAUUAAGUGUUCCGCCUGGGGAGUACGGCCGCAAGGCUA
rnacentral:rRNA from 1 species